UAGAUACCCUAGUAUAAAUUUUGUUUAAAUUAGUAUAGAGGAAAAUUAAUAAUUUUGGCGGUUAAUUAUAUCAAUUAGAGGAGCUUGUCUAUUUUAAGAAUUUGCUCUUUAAAUUUUAGUAUUAUUUGUUUAUUCAUUUCUGUUAUUAAAUGUAUUAGUUUAAGAUAAUAGUAUUUUAUAUUUCAGGUCAAGAUGUAGCUUUUAAUAUUUUGAGAUUAGCUACAAUUAUGAGGUAAAUAAAUGGAUUUAAGAUUUAUGAAAGUAUUUAUUGAAAUUGAAUUUAGUUGUAAUAUUAAUUAUGAUGUUAAUAUGAUUUUAUAUGGUUGAUGUACAUAUCGC
rnacentral:rRNA from 1 species